UGGGGAAUAUUGCACAAUGGGCGAAAGCCUGAUGCAGCGACGCCGCGUGAAGGAUGAAGUAUUUCGGUAUGUAAACUUCUAUCAGCAGGGAAGAAAAUGACGGUACCUGACUAAGAAGCCCCGGCUAACCACGUGCC
rnacentral:rRNA from 1 species